rnacentral:rRNA from 1 species
UGCAAAGGUUUCUUCCGUCUGGCCCUCAAGUGCAAAGGCAGGAAGAAGUUUAACUUCAAGACUCACCCUCAACUAGGGACGAAAGUUGACCUUAGUAAUCCAACGAUGCCGAGUGGAAGGGCUAUCGCUCAA